ensembl:lncRNA
AGAAUUGGUUGACAGUAUUAACUGAUUUAUAUUUCACUUUCCUACAAAAAGUACCGACUGCAGUGUUUAAUAGGAUUGUAAUAGCAUAAAAUAAAAAUAAGUGAAAAGGGAAAUACAACAAACAAUUUUAGUCAGCAGCAACAAAAUACAACAAAUCAAAAUGCAUCUUUAAUUGUAGCAAGAGUUAAAAUGCUAUAAAGUUAAACUGGCAAAAUAAAAGUUGUGUAGUCUUUUCCCUUUCACAUGUAAAAGCAAGGGCUACUUUGUGUUGUCAAAGGCUUUCAUAGCUGGAAUCACUGGAUUGUUGUGAGUUUUCCAGGCUGUAUGGCCAUGUUCCAGAAGCAUUAUCUCCUGGCAUUUCACCCAUAUCUAUGACAGUCAUCCUCAGAGGUUGUGAGGUAUAUUGGAAACUAGGAAAGGGAGGUUUAUAUAUCUGUGGAAGGUCCGGGAUGGAAGAAUGAAUCCUUUUCUGUUGGAGGCAAGUGUGAAUUUUGCCUUGUUUCCAAUAUACCUCACAAUCUCUGAGGAUGCCCAAAAAACUCACAGCAACCCAUGGACUACUUUGUAGUUAUAGAAAAUCUUUUUUUUUUUUUUGCAAUUCCCACAAUGAAUUGUCAUAUUUUUUUGUAAGUUACCACACACUUCCUUCAGUAUACUGAGCUUUUGCUUGGUUUAUUUAAAUCUAAAUACCGUAAUUGGUCAGUUUAAAAGGAGACGAUGAAUCAAUACAAAAACUCUUUAAACAUUCAAUGGGCCAGCAGGGCUAAAGAGUCAAUACAGAGGCUUCCCUUUGCCUUGCGCUUUGGUCUGUGCCACUUGUACGCGCACGCCGCUGUCUUCCCCAGAUUUCUGCUUUUGACCCACAUCCUGAAGGAAUAAUGGCCUCUGCUUUCUAUGGGCUUUAGAGUACGCAGAAUGGAAAUGCCUAGCCAAAGAGCAGACAGAAGCAGGCCCGGGAAGGCAGGGAGCGCGUGGCCUUGAAAUACAAAGACAACUGUUGCUGCUACUAUUUGCUGCUACCAUCACCACCAGAUCCAGAAUUAGGAGGUUGGUGUGAGGACCUUGGCAUCGGGAGAAAGGACAUACUUUCCAGGGGAGCUGAUGCAAACAGGAGUACAGGAUGUAAGCUUGGACCAACUGGGUUGGUGUGCUGUGACAGAAUUAAAAAGAAGAAAGGGUGUUUCUUUGCACAGGUGAUACCAGGUCAGACAUGGGAUUUAAAUUAUUGUGUAAGGAACAGGGAGAUGGAGUUGAAGUGAAAACCUGAAAGAAUUGUUGCAUUUGAACACCCACUCAAAGCUUCUGUGUGCAGUUCAAAUAGAUUACAUGUUUUUGUACAGUAUUUUUCAAUGGCAUAACAACAAUACUAAAGAGUUAGUGAUUAGUAAUCCAGAGUUACUUUAUGGAGUGUAGGAGCAUGUAGUGAGCUAUUGGGUGAUUACAGUAAUAAGUAACAUAAUGAGUUCCUUUUAGAAAACAACUUUCCAAGCUCCAAUAAGAAAAGAUUAGUAGUUUCAUCAAUAUAACAGUAAAGACUUCUGGAAAGGUUCUUCAUACAGAGGGGGGAGAUUUUGCCAGGGAAGGGUGCUGUCACCUUGAUCUCGAAAGUGAUUCCUUCACCUUUACCCCAUCUCCAGGAAUAAAUAUCUGGAUUAGUUCUGCUGGCAUUGUAUUCCUUGAAUUAAAAAAAUUCUGAGCCGGCUUUGCCAAAAGGCAGAGUGAGGUAGACAUCUCAGGAAGUAGCUUGUUUGUAUAAUGAAGAUAGAAAACUAUUUCUUACUAAUUGAUGGUUAUUAUUACUGUGUCUUACUGCCUUUUAUGGAUUUUCUGUCUCUUGAGGCAAAGGAAUUUGGCAGGCUUUGAGUAAUUUGCCUCAUGAGAGGUGGGGAAAAUUGGCUAUUUUCCCUGCCUCGCACCUGGUACUCAGCUCUGCUUCUUCGGUCCAAGUUAGUUUGUCCAGGUAAUUCCUGUUGAAAGUGCACAGAUUUUGAGCAUCCUAGAGUUCUUCCAAUGUUUGAAAAGCUAUCUGAAGCUCAAGUCCUGCAGAUUGAGAGAAUAAAACCUAUCAUAUGAAAAAGCUGUGCUGAUAUACUGAUUCAGAUCCCUGGGUAAGAUCCAGCAUCAUAUAGGUAGAGUUCUCUUACUAUGAUGGAGUUAUCCAUGCCCUUCUUCUCUUCCUCCAUUUCAUAGCAUCCCUGAAAAAUUUCUUCAGACAAACCUCAAACCUCCAUAUAGAUUUUGGGGAAGGAGAAUGGAGGAGGAAUGCAGAGGUGAUACUAUGGGGAAAGGGAAUUCAUUGCACUGAAGAAGAAGAAACAAUUUAAUUGAUCAAUCAAUAAUACUGGAUACAACCCAUUGAUUCCACACAAGGUGGCACCAGACGUAUUUAAGAUUGCCAGAUCACAAUAAUCCUAGCCCCAUAAAUUUCAAAGCCAAAAUAUUGAGGCCUAUGCAUGGUUCCAAGUGUUGCUUGAGAAGAGAAGGAGAUGGGCCAGGGGUACCUGCUUGAGACCCUACAGCAACCAUUCCAAAGCAGUCUACACCAACUUUUUGAUACAUUGCUUUUACUCUGAGAUUUCGAGGUGGGGCCCUUUUUUCAGUCCCACGCUUUACCUUACAUCUGGUAGAAACAAGAAGUGGGCCUCCU